GUGGGUUGGAGGGGGGGAGGUGUGGUAGGUGGUGAUGGCAGCUGUGAUGGCUCUAGUGGCAGCUAAAUGGCAUUGGUGGUGGUGGUUGCCGGAUGGUGGCGGCGGCGGCUAAUACUUGUGGGUGGUGAUUGUAACAAUGAAAAAAAAUAAAGGAAAACAAGUGAUCACACGAUUAUAUGCAUUAUGUUAGUUAAAGUGUAACUGAUGACAUGAUGUGAUUGUCAUUCCAUUAUAUCAA
rnacentral:misc_RNA from 1 species